rnacentral:rRNA from 1 species
UACAGAGGGGGCAAGCGUUGUUCGGAAUUACUGGGCGUAAAGGGCGCGUAGGCGGCCUUCUAAGUCAGACGUGAAAUCCCCGGGCUCAACCCGGGAGCUGCGUCUGAGACUGGAAGGCUCGAAUCCGGGAGAGGGAUGUGGAAUUCCAGGUGUAGCGGUGAAAUGCGUAGAUAUCUGGAGGAACACCGGUGGCGAAGGCGGCAUCCUGGACCGGUAUUGACGCUGAGGCGCGAAAGCCAGGGGAGCAAACGGG